CAUGGUGUGAGGUACUGUUUACUUUAGUUCCAAAAAGUUGUGAAAUAUCCGGAGGAAACGGCUUAGAAAAUUGUGUAACUUGUGUGUAUUGAUGAUUUAGUGUUUAUAGACAACGUGUGUAUAAAGACUCUAGUCAGCACACAGAAUAUAUCUGAGGAAGUCUCAAACUCUCAAAUUAAACAGCCUGAUGAUGAAGAACUCGAUACACCGCCCAAGGAACAAAAUGUAAAACUCUCACAGGCGAUGGGACCUCCUAAACCUAAAAAAAGGGUGAAAAAACAAGCAGAUCCAGAAAUUACUGAUGCAGUCGGUCAGUUAAAUAGAAUUGCUGAAAAUGUAUCACAGGUAAAACUGUACGACGAAUUUGGGAAGUAUGUAGCUGCAGAGCUACGUUAAUUGCCGCAACGUCAGGCUAUUUUAUUGCAGCAAGAAAUCCAGAAUUCUAUUACACGUGUAAAACUAAUCUGUUUAGAAAACAAUAACCAAAUAAAUACUUACUACGGAGAACCCCUUCAACUGCAAACUUCUCCAUCGUUAUCCUCCCCAAGUGAUCCCAGCCCUGCCUCAACCACAUAUGAAACACAUACCCAAAUCCAAAAUAACGAAGAUAACGGAUGGUCACGAAGUUCUUUAUCAAGCACUUAUAAAUACAUUGUCGGCACAAUUUUAAUUCUUAAUGAAUAAAUAAUAUUUUUUAUAAAUAAGUAACUUGUUUCAUAAACAGUGUGUGAAAAAUAAAUUGAUUAUUAAGUUA